rnacentral:tRNA from 1 species
GCUCUCAUAGUUUAAUGGAUAGAACGCUGGCUUGCGGAGCCGGUAAUGUAGGUUCAAUUCCUACUGGGAGCACAA